CCUCUCAUUCAGUGUCUGGUGGAUCAUGCAGUGCUCACCUUGGUAUGGGAUAGUGUCAUCAGCACCCUGGAGAAGCAGCCAUUGCUGCUCUCAAGUUAGUCUCUGCCUCCAUCUUCCCUGGACAUAUCUACACAAGUACAUUUUGUGCAUAAUGCAUUAUUUUGGUGUGUGAAGUGUUUCACCGAUCCAAGAUAUACUAUGGAUGUUCAAAGAUAGAAGUCCUUGAAUUUAACUCAGGAUGCAGAAGAAGAAGAGCCCCAGGAUCAGCAUAAAGAUUUGAGCUGUUACAUGAUGUUCUCCAUCUUUGAAUCAAUCUGUGUGCCAGGAGCAAAGGCAGCACAGCUGUGCCGGAGCUGCUGCGGGUGUUUCCAAGCCCUGUGGCUGGCAGGCACCGAGCAGAGUCAUCUUUAGCAGCACAGCUGAGGACCGAAGGCAAGUCUGUGUGAAGGGAUCUCAAACCAUCGACACCCUUGCGAUGCACGGCAGGCAUUUCAACAAGCAGUGAAAAGCAGCUGCUGGGGGAACUCCCUCAGGACACCCCAGCUCUACAGAGAGCUUUCAGAAAUCAGGAGAGGACAUUUACUACCUAUUUGUGCUAUUGCAUCAUUUAGGCACACUAGUCAAAACUCCUUCUCUUUUAUACCUGUGUCAGCUUGGCUCUCUAGGCAGAACUUUGCAGCUUUUAGACAAGAAAAUUCGAGGAUUGUUUAUUAAGAUUUAUACUCCAAACCAGAUGAAGUUAGAGGGGUCACCUUUAUGUGUAACAUGUGGUAUAUUAAGGUUAGGGGCAGUUCAAACUGUAGCUACAAAAUCUGUACCUCUCCUCUAACUGAAUUUCUGGAGCAGCCCAGGUAACUUUUUGCUCAGUCUUCAUUAAACAAGAGAGCUCUGGACUGCACAGCCCAUGUUCACAGAUCCUUUACACAGAGUGUAAUUGUAUGUAAUUUCUGACUCUGAUAAAGAAUCUUUAAUGGUAUAAAUGCACUAUGGAAACACAAGAGAUAAGAUCAAAAUAACUUGAAAUUGGAGCACUUGAAAACUUGGCAGAGAAUCUGCAUAGGAAGUUUACAUGGCAGGGAAGAGUGUGAUCCCCCAAACGCUCAGGAUUACAUUUCCAAAAUUACAGCAAGGAUAUGCAAUAACAAUUCCAUAAUAUUUUGAUUAGGAAGGAAGCAAAUAACAUACUGCAGAAUGCUGCUGUCAUAGCACACCCCUUGGCAACAUCCUCUUUAAAGAGAAAAAAAAAAAAAAGG